rnacentral:lncRNA from 1 species
GAGUGUAAAGGUCUUCUAGCUAGCUCAACCCAAAUAUGACAAGAGGUAGAAUGGCAUGGAUAGCGAGGUUGUCUAAAGAUAGAGAUUCUAGGAAGGGUAAACUUGGCUACUAAACACUUGCUUUAGAGCACCGGUUUACACCUGGUCUACCAAGUGCCUCUGGCCUUUAGCUCUACGCCAAACCUGAAUGUGGAGGGAUACAAAGCACAGACAAGGCUGUCACCACCUGCUGCCUUCCUCCCAGAUAAUGGGGAAAGGUAGCAAACAAAGGUAACCUCUAGCCUAGACACCACAUCUACACCAUCGAUUAUUACUCUAGCGUUGUACUAGAUUAUCCAUCUUUAUCAGGAGUCCUCUACUAAAGCAUCCUCCACAAGGAUGAACAAUGAACCCAUAAGAUAAUAAUAACAAGAGCCUAGCCUUACCAUGGAACUCACUACUAUAGACGAACUUGGAUACUUACUCAAGUGGAUCAUAUCCAACGAGGUACAAGCUUAGGAAGUUCGCCGACACACCUGACACUCCUCCUCCGAACUACAUCCUCACUCCUUCCCUAUCCUAUGCUACCAAAGUAGCCCUAAAGGUGGAGUCCCUCUCUUCUCUUGUAUCUUGGUGUCACUUGGUGUAAAUUGUUUUGUGGUGAGGAGAAGGGUCUCUAUUUAUAGGAGACUUGGAGGAGUGGAGGACAUCCUCUUGAUCCUAGGGGAAUAUUCCCCUCUCCUAUCCUUCCUUGGUGCCACCUGGGCUUGGAACCAAUGUUCCUUGGCGCCAAUUCCCGCGGCACAGCAUUCUGGAAGCGGUGGAGUGAAGAGCUAGAGGAAAACCAUGGAGACCCAUGCUGAACUACUGCAGA